rnacentral:lncRNA from 1 species
GAUCACUGAUUUAAUACAGAGAAGGUCAAAUUUCUUGUGAAUUUAAGUUUUCUCUUUUAAAUCCCUCCUUUUGUCAUGUGCCUGCAUAAUACUUUAUGAAAUAAAAGCUUAUCAAAAAAGUUGGAGAAAGAACAGUCUUGGAGAAAGAAAAUCAGGCAGUCAAGUGAUGGUUGCUGAGAAAAGAACCACAAAAAGAUGCUUACAGGAGAUCAGGA